UUGACCUCGGAUCAGGUAGGAAUACCCGCUGAACUUAAGCAUAUCAAUAAGCGGAGGAAAAGAAACCAACAGGGAUUGCCCCAGUAACGGCGAGUGAAGCGGCAACAGCUCAAAUUUGAAAUCUGGCCUUCUGGUCCGAGUUGUAAUUUGUAGAAGAUGCUUUUGGUGCGGUGCCUUCCGAGUUCCCUGGAACGGGACGCCUUAGAGGGUGAGAGCCCCGUACGGUUGGACGCCUAGCCUCUGUAAAGCUCUUUCAACGAGUCGAGUAGUUUGGGAAUGCUGCUCAAAAUGGGAGGUAAAUUUCUUCUAAAGCUAAAUAUUGGCCAGAGACCGAUAGCGCACAAGUAGAGUGAUCGAAAGAUGAAAAGCACUUUGAAAAGAGGGUUAAAUAGCACGUGAAAUUGUUGAAAGGGAAGGACUUAUGACCAGACUUUUUCCUCGCGAAUCAUCCGGUGUUCUCACCGGUGCACUUCUCUUGGUUUAGGCCAGCAUCGGUUUCUGUAGGGGGAUAAAAACUUUAGGAAUGUGGCUCCCCCG
rnacentral:rRNA from 1 species